UAUGUUCAAGUAUGAGCUGCGAGGGGAGGCAUAUGGUUUGUGCUUUAUAUAGGAGGAAUGUGUUGACUGGGAUGGUUGCCAGAUUGGCAUCUCGUGGGUCGGGUAGGGUCUGCUACUUUCAGUUUCCACAUUCUUGUGUCAAAAACUGCAGUGCAAAGUGUUGCUCAUACCGGAGCUUAUACCAGUUAUCACCAUCAAGGACUGAACUCCCACAACAUAGUGCUGCUGUUAGUUGCCACUUUAUGAUGAUGCUUAAUGACCGUUGAAUCAUCGAACAUGAAAAGAGAUCCAGCACAGAUCCCCAGCCUGAAGCUCAGUUAUCUGAAUCUUGAUCAUCAUGAGUCAGCUACCAUAUCUCCUGCUUGUCACUGUUCAUAACUGCUGGAUCGUUGAUGACAAAAGCAUAGGGCACCGGGUGCCAUUCACCUAUUCAAGCAAGGAAAAUAUCGGAAGCAAGGGUGUGGAAUGUACUGGUGGCUGGUGACAUGAAUGGGUCAAUGAUGCUUUCUUGUAUGGUCAGAGCAUCUUGUAGUGUUGACACUAUGCUGUCAUUAGUUAUUUAAUUAGAUUAAACUCUUUUGAGGCUUGCAAUUUGAUGGUAUCACACUGUUUUCCUGGAAGCUGCAGAUCUCCUUUUGCUAAGAAUCUGAAGCCUCUCUUUCGACCAAGAAAUGCAUCUGAAUGUGUUGUUUGGGGGCUAUCUAUUCAAUCCUAACAUGUGGGGAAGAUAAAGGGGUUUCUUUUGUUAGAAAUAACAAACUUGCAAAAGUGAUUGCACUGGAGCAUCAGAUUGGAACUGAACUAAGAAGAUCACACAAUGCAGAGGCGAUUGCCCUAUAUCCAUCACCUCCAAAUAAGCUCAUCUGUCUAUCAGUUGGACUCUCAAGCAUAUAGAGGACUGUUCAUUAGGGGCGACUCUGUUGUGCAUGUUCUCUGUACGACUGGCCCAAAUUUAUGCAAUGUACGGCGUUUGGUCACUUUAACUACCCAGUGGCUUGUAUUGCAUGAUUACACCUUUGGAUAGUUCGUAGUUCCACUAACCUUGGCACUGCAGAGGUCUUAGUUCGUAGUUCCACUAACCUUGGCACUGCAGAGGUCUCCUUGUCCAGUAUCAGUAUCAAGGAAUAUUUGUGCAUACAACAAAUAGUAGGCAUCAAAUAAAGAGGCACGCCCCUUUUGUCUGGAGUGGGCAGCUGAUGGUGAAAGCUCAGCUUUUUGAUCAGGGAGAGAAUGCUCCAAUUUGAUGGAAAAGAAAGCUGACAUUGCAUAAUUCAGGCCCCAAUAUAGAUAAGAUCUCCAUGACUUUGCAAUAGGUUGGGGAUGUUCCAUGGAUUACUGGUUUUGUACAGGAUGCAAAGGUGCUGCCAUUGUUGAAGACCCCUCUCUAUUCAGCUGCUCAAUGGGUUCAAUGUUGGAAUGGACGCGGUCUGCAUCUUUAUCAGAAUGGUUAUCCCAAUUGGUCCCUUCACUUCACCUUUCCAUGGCACAAACUUGCCGUGUCAUUGGAGGCACAAUGAUUGAUGCAUACAUGCAAUGGAGAAGAAUGGGAAAGUUGGCCGUCUGUGUGGGACUGUGGUGUGUGGACCAUCCAAAAACUCAUCCAGGCUUGUGGCUUCGACUGUUAUAAGGAUCUAUGCCGGAUUCUUCCUGCUCCAUAUCAUCCUUCGAUUGAACCAUUUCAAUCCCUAGAGAAGGAUAUUUCGGUGAAGUGGCUCACCCAAUGACCCAAACAUAUCGGCCUCUGUGCCAUGCCUACUUGUGAACAUUGCAGUGGCAGUUGGCCAAAUGAUGGGCAGCCGGCUAAAUGUCACAAUUAGCCUGGCAGUUCACACUACAUGGUUGCUUUUCAUAGACACGACAAUGGUCACCGGUCAUCAGGUCGUGUAAGUUCACAUGGUCUACUGAACAGUGUCCAAAUGGUCUACUGAGUAGUGCAUGCCCCAGUGGUCUGGUCUACUGAGCAGAGUCACGAUUUGCUAAUUAACAUGUUCCAAUAAUGUCCGGAGAAUGACAGAUCAGUGAAGUGGCUGCCGAAAAGAUGAGCCAAUAGCAAGCAACGGAAGUUGGCCUAAAGAUGAAAAGAGGCAGCUGAUUACACACGCUUUGACAGCUGACAGAGCACGGUUUGCACAAUGAACAUGGAAAUGCCCCUCACUCAUCGGCCAUCAUCGGUCGAUCCAAGCUGAGUUUACAUCACCACAUGGUCUACUUAGCAGUCUGCUAGUCAUGGUCAGUGCACUAGCGGGGAAAAGAGGGGCCGGCUGGAGACAGCGUGACUCCUGUGGGAACAGCAGCCGCACCACCGGGGGAUAAAAAGCCUCUGUUCGUGGGGGAGCCAAUAAUGCCGGCGAGAUGCAUGUUGCACGAUGAUGCCGAGCUUGACUUGACGCCGGGAGGCCGGCCGGUGAUCUCGCCUGCUGAGCUCACCGGCACUGUGCUUGCUGGCUUGUGACCGUCCUAAAACCUGGAGGAGGCCCAGAGGUCGAAGGGGGCUAGCAGAGUGCAGACGGGGGCAGUAGAUCUGCCAAUCUACGGGUAGGGGACCUGUUGUGCUUGUGCUGCUGCUGCUGCUGUUCUAGAAUCUGGAGGUGCGCUGGAAUGGCGAACAGUAGGUGAUGGUGGCAUGCUUGCUUGCAGAGUCAGUGCGUGGCCUGAUCACUUCGUGCGCUGCGUUCUUGUACGUGUUCUGUGUUCGUGCCUGCUGACAGGAGAAAAGACGGUAAACAUGCUAUGCAUUUUGGGUGGCCACCAGCUAGUCAACUUUCUGUCAAUGCGUGCUUGCUUGCUUGCUCCCCUUUCUUAGUGCAUGGUAACUGGCUACUAACUGCUGGAUUUACGUUUGAUUUACAGAUGCAAGGAAUAAGGGAGACAGAUAGACUGAUCAGGGAGAGAUAGAUUAUGUAACCACAGCAGGAAGCACUAUGGCACUAGGCGAGAACUUUUUAACAACAAUACUGAUUUGAUAGAGAAUUUCAGAAA